UACAGAGGUCUCAAGCGUUGUUCGGAUUCAUUGGGCGUAAAGGGUGCGUAGGCGGCGCGGUAAGUCGGGUGUGAAAUCUCAGAGCUUAACUCCGAAACUGCAUUCGAUACUGCCGUGCUUGAGGACUGGAGAGGAGACUGGAAUUUACGGUGUAGCGGUGAAAUGCGUAGAUAUCGUAAGGAAAACCAGUGGCGAAGGCGGGUCUCUGGACAGUUCCUGACGCUGAGGCACGAAGGCCAGGGGAGCAAACGGG
rnacentral:rRNA from 1 species